UAAGAUCAGGAGUUUUCUUGG
rnacentral:snRNA from 1 species